rnacentral:rRNA from 1 species
UACGUAGGGCGCAAGCGUUAUCCGGAAUUAUUGGGCGUAAAGAGCUCGUAGGCGGUUUGUCGCGUCUGCCGUGAAAGUCCGGGGCUCAACUCCGGAUCUGCGGUGGGUACGGGCAGACUAGAGUGAUGUAGGGGAGACUGGAAUUCCUGGUGUAGCGGUGAAAUGCGCAGAUAUCUGGAGGAAUACCAACGGCGAAGGCAGCACUCUGGGCUGGAACUGACGCUGAGGAGCGAAAGCGUGGGUAGCAAACAGG